UUAUAUCCAGGGCUACACACACGCUACAAUGGUCGGUACAAAGGGCAGCGAAGCCGCGAGGUGGAGCGAAUCCCAGCAAAGCCGACCGUAGUACGGAUAGCAGGCUGCAACUCGCCUGCUUGAAGCUGGAGUUGCUAGUAACCGCGCGUCAGCAUAGUGCGGUGAAUACGUUCCCGGGGCUU
rnacentral:rRNA from 1 species